GCACCUGGUCCUAGGAGACCCUGAGGAGGCACAAGGUGCGGGCGAGGCCGAGCUCCAAGGACCACACCCUAACGUCAGGAGGCGACUCUGUGGGAGAGGAUAGCCCGGACUGGGUCUCCCGAGCGACCACCUGUGCACCAGUCCGUCUAGGGGUGCGGGGUUCUCACUCCACCUUGGGGUGUCGGCUGGGGUCCACGGCUUCCACCACCUUCUCUGCGAUGGCCCCCAUGGACCUGGUCAUGUCCUGCAGGUGGCUCUCGUGCAGCAGCUUCUGGGUCAGGGAGAGACACAAAGAGAAGAAAGGAAGAGAGAGCAAGUGGUCUUCCAUUGCACGAGCACCUGCAGGUGGGGCUGCAGCCA